rnacentral:rRNA from 1 species
UACGUAGGGUGCAAGCGUUAUCCGGAAUUAUUGGGCGUAAAGCGCUCGUAGGCGGUUUGUCGCGUCUGCUGUGAAAACCCGAGGCUCAACCUCGGGCCUGCAGUGGGUACGGGCAGACUAGAGUGCGGUAGGGGAGAUUGGAAUUCCUGGUGUAGCGGUGGAAUGCGCAGAUAUCAGGAGGAACACCGAUGGCGAAGGCAGAUCUCUGGGCCGUAACUGACGCUGAGGAGCGAAAGCGUGGGGAGCGAACAGG